GAUAACAAAUGGUUUUACAACUCGGCAUUCAUGUUGUUGUUUUUCUUUGUGCAAGAAUAUUUUAUGGGGUGUCGUCCAAUCCUGACUCUUUUUCACUCAAAUUCACAUUAAUGCAUGAGUCUAUUUCUAAGGCAAGUGCUUAUUCUUCAUUUCUCUAUAUAUUUUUUUUCUUCAUUCUUUUUUCUCUUUUUUUUUCUCUUUUUUUUUCUUCCGGUAGAAGCGGAUGUUUCUACAUAGCUUUUCUUGGUUUCUUU
rnacentral:lncRNA from 1 species